UACGUAGGGAGCAAGCGUUGUUCGGAUUUACUGGGCGUAAAGGGUGCGUAGGCGGCUUGUCAAGUCAGUUGUGAAAUCUCCGAGCUUAACUCGGAACGGUCAACUGAUACUGUCAUGCUAGAGUGCAGAAGGGGCAAUCGGAAUUCUUGGUGUAGCGGUGAAAUGCGUAGAUAUCAAGAGGAACACCUGAGGUGAAGACGGGUUGCUGGGCUGACACUGACGCUGAAGCACGAAAGCUAGGGUAGCAAACGGG
rnacentral:rRNA from 1 species